GCAAGGGAGGCUCAGUGUAGAAUUCUCGCCUUCCAUGCGGGAGACCUGGGUUCAAUUCCCAGCCAGUCCA
rnacentral:tRNA from 1 species